rnacentral:lncRNA from 1 species
AGGACCGCGGCAAGGGCAUCGCGCCCGAUCAGUGAGACCGUGGUAGUAUAGUAGCUUUCCUUUUUGCAUUAGCACACCUAUGUUUUGAGAGAGAUUCAUGUAGGUGAGAUUGGAGAGCUAUGUAUUUUGAGGAUCAGAUGUAUUCAUUUUGGAAAAUGAUGUAAAUGUAAAGAAUGUAACUAUUGUAAUAGUUAGUAAGUACUCUCUUUAUUUCACUCGUAUAUCUUGU